GACGAACGCUGGCGGCGUGCUUAACACAUGCAAGUCGAGCGGUAAGGCCCUUUCGGGGGUACACGAGCGGCGAACGGGUGAGUAACACGUGGGUGACCUGCCCUCAGCUCUGGGAUAAGCCCGGGAAACUGGGUCUAAUACUGGAUAUGACUCCAUGACGCAUGUUGUGGGGUGGAAAGCCUUGUGCGGCUGAGGAUGGGCCCGCGGCCUAUCAGCUUGUUGGUGGGGAACGGCCUACCAAGGCGACGAUGCGUAACUGGUCUGAGAGGACGAUCAGCCACACUGGGACUGAGACACGGCCCAGACUCCUACGGGAGGCAGCAGUGGGGAAUCUUGCGCAAUGCGCGAAAGCGUGACGCAGCAACGCCGCGUGGGG
rnacentral:rRNA from 1 species